CUACGGGGCGCUCCAGUGAGGAAUAAUGCGCAAUGGAGGCAACUCUGACGCAGCAACGCCGCGUGGGGGAUGAAGCACUAUGGUGUGUAAACCCCUGUAGGUAGGGACGAACGGCACAUAUUCGUAAGGGUAUGUGUGUGACGGUACCUUCAAAGUAAGCACCGGCUAACUCCGUGCCAGCAGCCGCGGUAAUACGGGGGGUGCAAGCGUUGUCCGGAAUUACUGGGCGUAAAGGGCGUGUAGGCGGCGGGACAAGUCAGAUGUGAAAGCCCCCGGCUUAACCGGGGAACUGCAUUUGAACUGUUUUGCUUGAGUGCGAGAGGGGGUAGUGGAAUUCCCAGUGUAGCGGUGAAAUGCGUAGAUAUUGGGAAGAACACCAGUAGCGAAGGCGGCUACCUGGCUCGCAACUGACGCUAAGGCGCGAAAGCGUGGGGAGCAAACAGGAUUAGAUACCCCCGUAGUC
rnacentral:rRNA from 1 species